rnacentral:RNase_P_RNA from 14 species
GGAUAGAAAUUCAUAUUACAUGGUCUUGCACAUUUGUUAAAUAUAGGUACAGAUUAGGCUUUGGAAUUCCUAGUAGUAGUCAAGGCAUUGUGGAAAUGUGACCAGUUUGAGAUUCAGAGUAUUCAUUCAAAAAACAGUUCAGUUGUUCAAAAGCAGCCCUAACAGGGUCCUCCCUGAGUUUUGGGGAGGUGAAUUCCCAGAGAACAGGGCUUUGCACAAGGGUGGACUGGGCAGGAGAUGCCAUGGACCUUGCUCUUGGGGAGGGUUCUGGCAGAUGCCUCCUUAGCCAGAGCUUGGAACAGACUCACAGCCAGCGAAGUGAGUUCAAGUUCAAUGGGUGAGGUGAGGUGAGCUACCUGGGGGGGGGUCGGGGGGCUCAUGACCCAAUUCAGACUACUUUCCUCUGUCC